rnacentral:rRNA from 1 species
UACGGAGGGUGCAAGCGUUAUCCGGAUUCACUGGGUUUAAAGGGUGCGUAGGCGGGCAGGUAAGUCCGUGGUGAAAUCUCUGAGCUUAACUCAGAAACUGCCAUGGAUACUAUUUGUCUUGAAUGUUGUGGAGGUAAGCGGAAUAUGUCAUGUAGCGGUGAAAUGCUUAGAUAUGACAUAGAACACCAAUUGCGAAGGCAGCUUACUACACAAAUAUUGACACUGAUGCACGAAAGCGUGGGGAUCAAACGGG